rnacentral:rRNA from 1 species
AACCUGUCGCAAAGGGAUAGGCCCGAGUCCUAUCAGCUAGUUGGUGAGGUAACGGCUCACCAAGGCUUACGGGUAGCUGGUCUGAGAGGAUGAUCAGCCACACUGGGACUGAGACACUGCCCAGACUCCUACGGGAGGCUGCAGUCGAGAAUCAUUGUCAAUGCACGAAAGUGUGAACAUGCGACGCCGCGUGGAGGAAGACGGCCUUCGGGUUGUAAACUCCUGUCAGCAGGGAGUAAGGAUCGUGUAGUUAAUACCUACACUGUUUGAUAGUACCUGCAGAGGAAGUCACGGCUAACUCUGUGCCAGCAGCCGCGGUAAUACAGAGGUGGCGAACGUUGUUCGGAUUUACUGGGCGUAAAGGGUCCGCAGGCGGCCCGGUGUGUCGGAUGUGAAAGCUCACAGCUCAACUGUGGAAUUGCAUUCGAAACUGCCGGGCUAGAGUACUGGAGGGGAGAAGGGAACACUUGGUGUAGCGGUGAAAUGCGUAGAUAUCAAGUGGAACANNCCGGCGGCGAAGGCGCUUCUCUGGACAGAUACUGACGCUCAUGGACGAAAGUUAGGGUAGCGAAAGGGAUUAGAUACCCCUGUAGUCCUAACCGUAAACGGUGUGCACUAGGCGUGGGUGGCUUUACCCCCAUCCGUGCCUGAGCUAACGCAUUAAGUGCACCGCCUGGGAGANGUNACGGUCGCAAGAUUAAAACUCAAAGGAAUUGACGGGGACCCGCACAAGCGGUGGAGCAUGUGGCUUAAUUCGAUGCAACGCGAAGAACCUUACCUGGGCUUGACAUAUAGCUGCAUACGACCCGAAAGGGACGUAGCCUUCGAGGGUGCUAUACAGGUGCUGCAUGGCUGUCGUCAGCUCGUGCCGUGAGGUGUUGGGUUAAGUCCCGCAACGAGCGCAACCCCUGUGUUUAGUUGCCAGCACGUAAUGGUGGGAACUCUAAACAGACUGCUUGUGAAAGCAAGAGGAAGGUGGGGAUGACGUCAAGUCAGUAUGGUCCUUAUGUCCAGGGCUGCACACGUGCUACAAUGGGAUGUACAAUGGGAGGCUAAGCCGCGAGGUGGAGCAAAUCCUCAAAACAUCCCCCAGUUCGGAUCGUAGUCUGAAACUCGACUGCGUGAAGUUGGAAUCGCUAGUAAAGGCGUAUCAGCUACGACGCCUUGAAUACGUUCCCGGGUCUU